rnacentral:misc_RNA from 1 species
GGGAGUAAAAGUCGUAACAAGGGAUCUGUAGGUGAACCUGCAGAUGGAUCAUUCGUAUAAUUUUAUUAUUAUUAUAUAUGUUACAUAAGUGUUAAUAGUACUUUGAAGGGUUAUAUAAUAUCAUUUUAUAUUUAUUAUUCAACUUUAUUAUAAAAAUAGUGAACAUAAAUUUUUAACAAUGGAUAUCUUGGCUUUU